UUAAAAAAAAACCACAACCCCUCCCCCUGCGCACAGUUUCUUUCUUCUUCUUUUUCUUCCUUAUCUCUAUUUUUCUCUCUUUCCAUAUUCUCUUCUUUCCCUCUCUCUUAAUUUUCUCUCCCAAUCUUCAUCUAUUUUAGAAUCUGAUCAGACCACGUUGUAGAUGACGAGUUAAGGAACAUUUCUACCCGAUCAGAUUUUCAAACAGAGUAAGUUUAUUUUUACUCUAAAUAUCCUUUGUUUUCUGUUUUUCCUUAGGAUUUAGUCAUCAAUCUUGGUGGGGUCAGUUGAGAAGUUUAAUCCUCUCAACUUAUUCUAUUAUAUACUGAAAUUUUGUUCUGUUUGGAUAAUUUUCAUUAGGCCCGUAAAUCUUGAAGUUUAUCCAAACGGUGGGGAAUAAAAUUCUAAAAGUUGCUUGGAAAGCAAGCAAUUGAGGUAAGGGAAGCUAAAUUUAAUUUUUAAUAGCACCCUAGGAUAGAAGAUCUGAAUGCGGAAGGGACGUGGUCCCAAUAUUCAAUUUCUCUUGUAGGGAUGUUGUGUGUUUAUUUAUAUUGGGUUGUUUGUUUAUAUAUUAUUUAAAUUUGUGGAAAUAUUGGGUUUUGAUGAUUUAGUAUUAAAGUGUUAUUUUUUUAUGUCAAAUAAACUUUUGAAUAUUGUGGAUAACUUUUUGAAUGAUAUUGUAUGACAGAAUGGUAUGGAAUUGAAUUCAUACAUUUGGGAUAAUGUAUGGACUGAUGUUUGCUGUGUAUUAAGUAUUGAUGCCUAUGUGGUAACAGAGAUCUCUGAGCUUCACUGAUGAUUUAAGUCACAUAGACUAAGAUAUCAGGUGGUGAGAAGCUGAUGGGGGAGUUCAUGCACACAGUGACAUAUGAGAUGCACGGCUUGGGUUGUAUUGAACUUAUCCUGAUCCUUUCUGUUGGAUUCGUUGGUAAUCUAUGGAUCAAUGGGAUUGGAGGACCCAGGAAAAAGUGCAUCAAGCUAUAUGACAUUAAACAAGCGGUUGCUGAGAGACAAUCUAGUAUUUUAAUUACUAUGUUUUGUUUUUGUGUUUUUUGUUUAGUUUUUGUUUAAUGUUAUGUGUUGUGUGGUGAAAUUGAGUUUGAUGACCCCAGAACAUGUAUAACCUGGGGACAUGUAUUCUUUUCCUAGAGUAUAUCCAACAGAUGAAACAAGACCAUCUACAACUGUAGAUGGGGAUUUUAGUACAGAUGGAUGAGUUGCUAGGAAGAGAUGAUUGAGCACAAAAUACGGUUAUCUUUCUAGUUAUUAUUUCCUUUUAGUUUGUUUUAUUUACUUUUUUUAGUUGUUUAAUUUUCUUAUAUUUUUAGUUUUAUUUUAUUUGUUGAAUUUUCUUUCUAGUUUUAUUUUGUUCUUAAAUAUUAUUGUGAG
rnacentral:lncRNA from 1 species